CUGCUUAGCAAGCCUAAGGGAAGCUUAGAGUUAGUCAGGGGAGGGCAGCAAGAGCAAAAGGAAGCAAAGGAAAAUAAUGGAGUGUUGAAACCAGGCAUUGAGCAAGAGCAUGAUGGACAAAUAAUACCUGAUAGCUACGGAACAAACCACAAGAGAGCCGAAACAAGUGAGAGGAGCCUGAGGAAUCUACUUCGCGGUGAGAAUAUUCAGUGGAGAAUCCCCAAAGGCAGUGGCCCCGCUCCUGUAAUCACCAGCAGCCGCCUUUCCCAGCGCUUGGCUUCUCACAUGGAAAAUCCAGCAGCCACGACCAAAGGCAACAGAAACUACCCAGCACCACUUGGUUGUCUGACUGCCUUGUGUCCCCCCAACAGUAAGGACUCACUAGAUCUGCCAUACAGCCUUGGUGACAGGUGGAUGAUCUGUGCUUAUUGAUACAGCAUUGAUCUAGGAUCACGGGACCAGGGCGCAGAAACCCUGGCCUUGCUGAGAGCCAACAAACGGGACGCGCUGACGUUUUCCGUCUCUGAACAGUGGCUCAUAAAUGGACAGGGGUCAAGCCCAUGCUCCUCCACCUGCCCAGCACCUGUCCUGUGCCUGGCACCUCGUAGGCACUCGAGUACUUUCUGACUCGACCAAGCUUGGAUCUGCUCUCUGUUUCUAGUGGGAGUGACAUUUCAAAGACUCUUAGCCAAAAAAGACGUCUUCAGACAGACGUUUUGCGAUCACACAACAUCAUCAACUUACUGCUACGCUGGAAAUCAAGUUCUGAAAACUCUGCACGCCCCUUCCUUGCGAAGUACCACUGCACAGACUCCCUGAAACAAGACACUCGCUGUCCCCUAGGCAAGUCUCACCAGGUUUCUACUUUCCCAGCAAAGUGGAAAAGAUGAAGCAAUUAUCUGGGGAGUUCAGGUAAAAUGUCAGCUUUCUUCUGAAUCUCCUUUCUAGUCUAAAUCUCAGUCUAUUUCCAGGAAAGCAUUUUCUCGAUUCAUUCUGCUACAUUUUCUCAAUUCCUAGUUUAGUUUCUGAGAGAAGGCUUAGCCUAUUA
rnacentral:lncRNA from 1 species